rnacentral:rRNA from 1 species
UGGGGAAUUUUGGACAAUGGGGGAAACCCUGAUCCAGCCAUCCCGCGUGUGCGAUGAAGGCCUUCGGGUUGUAAAUCACUUUUGUCAGGAAAGAAACGUCAUGGGUUAAUACCCCGUGAAACUGACGGUACCCGCAGAAUAAGCACCGGCUAACUACGUGCCAGCAGCCGCGGUAUUACGUAGGGUGCAAGCGUUAAUCGGAAUUACUGGGCGUAAAGCGUGCGCAGGCGGUUCGGAAAGAAAGAUGUGAAAUCCCAGAGCUCAACUUUGGAACUGCAUUUUUAACUACCGGGCUAGAGUGUGUCAGAGAGAGGUGGCAUUACGCGUGUAGCAGUGAAAUGCGUAGAUAUGCGGAGGAACACCGAUGGAGAAGGCAGCCUCCUGGGAUAACACUGACGCUCAUGAACGAAAGCGUGGGGAGCAAACAGG